UGAAAGCACUGUUCCUUCAAUUUCUCAUUGAAGUGUAUAGGGUGUUACUUUCUCCAAACUACAUUGGAUAAUUUUGGCACAUUAUAUCAAACAAAAAUGACCAAAAUCACUGAAGUCAUUAUUAAAUGUAUAUGACACACACAGCAUCUUGUGUGUACGGUGCAAACAAAGAUAUCCUACUUUAUGAGAAGUAAAGCUAUCAAAAUAUGAAUUAAAUUAUUAUGAGACACACUUAAAGGUUUUAUCUCAAUGAUAUUGAGCUUAGAUUGCAGGUUAUUUUACUCAGGUAAAGAAUUUAACACAUAAGAUUGCAUUACAUGUCAAACAUUUUCUCAACUCAGUUCAUUGCGCAUAAAAAGGCAUUUAUACCUCUGGUGUAAAAUAUUCACUCGGAAUCAACGCGCUUUCGUUCAGUGCAAAACUAAUAUCCUUUGACAAACAAAUAAAAGAUAGAGGAUGUCAAAUGCUUAGACGAUAGGUGAAGUAACUGCAACUGUGUCCAGCUCAUCAAAUUCCCCAACGUUUUGCUGUUGCCGAGAUCUUUAAUUGGUAACAAUGCCUUUAGCAGUUCUUCAAGCCAAUGAAAAACGUCAUCUCAAAGUACAUGUACCGCCAUUUUGUACGUGAAGCAAACAGGCUCGCCUUUAAACAGUGCAGGUUUGCUGCAUCGGAUGUAGUGGAAUUUACCUUGAGGCAACCGGAGCAGUUGUUUUACCAAAAUCUGUAUCAAGGGUAUGGAUCUUGAAUGGCAGUAGUAUUUCCAUGACAAGAUCAGAGAAUACUGCAGAAUUUACAUUAACGAGGGCAUAGCUUGCCCUAGACCGACUCAACCAAAGCAUUGAAGAGACUGUACAACCUGGCUCAAGACCACAGUUAUCUAGCCCCCGUUGACCAAGAUCCGGAUAUGAAUAAAGGAAAAAAGAGUGCGUGUGUUAAAGUUUCAGUAUUUUAAUAAAGUUGAAUGAAAGAGAAGAAACAGGUGGCCUUUUUGCACAAAGCUUAACAUAGUUUGACACUGUAUUGCAAAAACUGUUAGUUUUCAGUGUAAAAAUUGGAAACAUCAUUGCCUGUGGAACUAUGUAAAUUGAUUGUUUGUAGCCUUAUUCCGUCUUGACCUCAGGGUCAUGUUUUACUACUCAAUUUUGUGAGACAACGCAUUGCUCAACCCUAUGUUUUCUUGUGAUUACAUUUUGUGUCUUGGAUUGUUCUACAGCUGCCAGUUACUUGUUUUUUUAAUUGGAACUUUUUUAAAGGUAAGGCCAGGUGAGUGUCUAUAUGAAACAUAUAGUGAAAAUAACUGUGGUCUCACGCCACCUGUUAUUCCACUUUUUUUAGCUGUUUGGACUAGUAAUUAGGAAUAACGUUAUUUCUCAGUCUUAACAAAGCUGAAGGAUUUAAAAACUGAUAUGAAAAGUAAACAUGGAAACAAAUGUUCUUUAGGGUUUUAGCCAGGUUUUAAAAAAGGACAGGGUGAUACAGAAAAGAGACAGGGUUUUAAGUGUAAAACGGGCACACUGCAUCGGGCUGUGAAAACAUUAUGAAUGUGACAGAUAAUGAUAGGAAUACGGCCAAUCUUGACAAAAAUGUAAAGUUUGGGUGUAUUUAUAAUAUUGUUAUUAAAAUAAAAGAAAUAUUUGACAGUCUAGAGCCUUUAAUUCUAUGAAGGCAGGGGGUUGCCAAACUUGCUCUUCAUGACAGCAGAAGUGUGCUUCCAAAUAGAACAGGGUGCAGCAUCCUUCCAUAACUCUUUAGCUAAACCAUAUACUUGUAUUGUCAGCAAAUUACAGUAAAACAUAAUUCUGUGAACUUUUUUUAUAUAUUUCCUUUGAUAGCUCAAUGUCAAGCUCGAUUUUAUGUAUUUCUGCUUAAUAAUUUGUCUUAUUCUUGAAUCAUAACACUUUUAUCCAGUAAAUUAAUGAAGGAUGAAGUUAAUAAGAAGUCUGAACUGCAAUGCCGACACAAAACAUGUUAUAUAUUGAAAUGUUUAUUUAGCUACAUGUACUAGCUAUUAUGUGUUAGUCUGAUAUCCAGUUUUUUUUAAGAAUUCGAUUUGUUGAUCCCGAUUUAUUCAAACACAUGUAAAGAGACAAUAGAUACACAAGUUUAUACUUUGAGUUGCCAUGGUAACAAUUUUAUUUAUAUUUCUUACCUUAAUUGUUAUUUUAACUUUUCGGAAUUAUAUUUAUUGUGUAUCAUAAUAAUACAAGGGUUAGGGUUAGUUAACAUAUAAGUAAACAUGUAGCUAGCUACACACUUUCAGACCUUACCUUUUAAUUGUACUUCUUUUUCUUAAUAUUUCGAUAAAUUAAAAGUUCUUGUGCAAAACAAUUAUCCAUUUUUGAAUUAAAUCACCAUAAAAAAGGAAGUUUUAAUCAUUCUGAUAAUUUUUCAAAAGUAUAUUCAUUCUCUGAUGUCUUUAAAUCUGCAGGCUCGUUUCAUACACAAAGUUCGUCCCAUCUAGGCUUCCGUUAAAGGAACUUUGGAAGUAUAAUACUCCCUAGAAAUUGUCUAAAUAGUUUACAAUUGAUGCCUUCGAAGUACAAAUACUUCCAUAAUUUCUUAGAAAUUUUGCAAAGUUGAAGAUUUGGAAGUUCAAAAUAUCAAAACCUGGUGUCGAUGCUACUUUUAUGGUGAUGUUUUCAAUAAUUCUUGAAGUAUUAUGAAUUAUUUUAGUAUAAAAUUGUGAUAUCGAAUUCAUAGUUAUAGUUGCAAAUGAUUUCAUUUUUAACAUAUACAUUACUGUUAAGACCAAACUUGACAGUAAGUGCACUUCUUGUGCACUCUCAGUUCACCAGGAGUGUACUAUAGUGCACUAGGGUAAGACAAGGCUAAGGCAAGGGAAAUACUAUAUGUAGACAAGUGGCUGACCAGAUAAGGCUUCUUCAGUCUAUAAUAAAUACUAUCUGUAGUUUCAACAUAUGUUUUAAUGUUUAUUAAUAUAUAGAGAAAAAUUAUAAUCGAUUUGGACCUUUCACCUAAAUAAUAUAGAAUUAUAAAUUUCAAUAACUGAUGUUGUUCAAUGAAAACAAUAAAUUUGUCAAACUUUUUUGUUUUCAAUAUAAAUAUGCAUUGCAUUAUUUUGAUAUUAAUUGAUAGGUAUAAUGAUAUAAUUCUUGUUCUAGGUUAAAGAGUUUCAUCUUCAAAUACUUAUUUAACAUAAGGAUGAAAGGAAUUCAUGGGCCUCUUUUCAAAGUAUAAUUAUUAGUUUCAGAAGGUGAUAAUUACAAGUUGCUUGUUAUUUAAAAUAGUUUAACAUCAAAGUUUACGUCUUAUUGUUUCAAGCUCAAACUGUGACAUUGUUUAUUCAUUCAAGUGAUAUAUAAACCCAAGAUUUUCUUCCAUUGGUUCUGAAACUUUCAAUUUUAUGUUCAUUUUUGUGUUCCAAAUGUGUUCGGAUUUAAGAUGACAGCCAGACAGCAGUUAUCAAGUACACCAUUAUUAGUUAUAUUUUCUACAUUGUACCCAUAUUUAAUAAUUGCAUUUCUAACUUGAAACUUUAUUAUAAUAGAGAAACAUAUAUUUUAGAGGUUUAGUAUAUACUGUGUUGCGGCUUCAUUUUAAAUAAUUACUGUCCAUUGAAGGAGUAAUUUAAGCCUUCUUUAAGUGCCCGCACCCUCUCCCCAUAGUACACAAUUCUGUGUAUUGAUCUUUAUCUUUAUUGCUUCCUGCUGUCUAUCAAAUCUCAGAUCUGUCAGUGUCAUAUUAAAUUCAUAUUUACAGAACACAACAUAAUGUAAUGAAACACAUUUUACUUUACUUGUUUAUCAUUUACUAACUUUAAUUUUACAAAUUAAUACAUUGCCUAUGCAUAUAUCGUUUAUGCAAUAAUUGGUUACGUAUAAAUCAGACAAUGCUAUUUUCUUCUCUAAAAGUGUCAACUCUAAAUGGCCCUGAGCCAAUAAACAAAUACACAGGAAAUCGGCCCCUGCAAUGACAUUAGUGCGAUAAACAAGGGAUGCACAGCAGAGAAUUAACAUGACAAUCAUUUUUUAAUGGGGACCUUUUAUAUUUUAUUUUACUAAUUUUGUUUAAGAGAAGAGAUGUAAACAAAUAUUUUUAUAAAAGAUAAAAAUAGUUUACGUUUAUUGUAUUUUGUGUUUUGUGUUUCUUACCUUUUUAAUUAUGUACAUCUUAUAAAGUCAAAAAGACUAUGAACAUAUUUUUUACCAAACAUAAAAUUGAAAUUGGUAGAUAAUAUGCUGUUUUUUUGUGUUGUUUUUUUAAUAUUGACCAUGCACAUACUGUAUUUUACAUCAAAUAUAAAGUUAUAAUAGGACCUCAUAUUCAUUGUAAUGCUUUGUUAAUGGGUGAAUGCAUAGGAUAAUUCCCUUUUAUUCAUUUUUAAUGUUAUCAUAGCAGGGUUCCGGUCGCUUCCUGUGUAUUGUUUAUUGGCUCUGAUCUUUUGGGCUAACACUGUUACAAUGUGUAAUCUCAUUACAAAAGUAUGAAUAAGCUUUUUAUCAUUUUGCUGAUAUUCAAUUUAUUGUAUUGCCUGGUUUGUGUGUCAUUUGGUGGGAUAAUUACCUUUUGUGCUCAUUUUGUGAAACUCUGUUAAUUCGUUUAUGAGGCUAUAAAAAUAAGGGCUUACACUUUUAGAUAAUCUCUUUCAAACCAUUUAUUCAGUUUAUUUAUCAUUUCACAUAAUUCAAAAAUAUCUAUUCAUAUUAUAGACAAUAUAUAUACACCAAUCAUAAACAAAAAUAAAUGCUCUAUUUUUCUGACUGUCACAGUCUGAAGAAGAUUAACAUCAAUAGGCAUUCAAUAUCAAAUGCUCAAACUACCUUUUUAAGAUGUUUAUGUAUGAAAAGUAAUGAAAUAAAUAAUGAAUGUACGUAACAUCUAUACAGGAUAGUUUCAGACAAUUGCAAUAUCAUUUAGAUUGGUCUUUGUAAACAUUUUGAUGAAAAUAUAAAAUGUAAUGCAUAUGCAAAAGGUUACUCUGAAAAAAUAGUCUGUGCUACUGUUUUUAUAAUGAGGUCUUUUUUCAACACUGCAUGCAAUUAUGUAUUUUUUAAGUCACAAUUACUCUUUUACCCUAAACAAUAAUUUUGGAUUCACAGUUCAAAGAAUAUAAUAGUGCUGUUCAUUUAUAUACGUAGGAUUCAGAAAUUUAGAAUUAAUAUCUUGUAAUCACUUUAAUUAAAUGUCUGAAUUAUUAUAUAACACUCCUAUUUUAAAAAAAGUCUACAUUUAAGAAGCCAUGCAUUUAAGAGAGACUUUCCUUAUACAAUAGUAAUGCUCAUUAUGUAAACCUUUGUUUAUUUAUGUUUUUUCCCUCUAAAUGUUAAACAAUUUAUAUCGUCAUAUUUAAUUUCAUUAUGUAUAUUUAUUAUUAUCCCGUUACUCUUUAUAGUUGAUUUAUGUCUAUGCCAUAUUUAUGUUGUUAAUGGCCAAAGGCUAUUUUAAGUCGAUCUGCCAAUAAACUUUGAACUUGAA